AUUGAACGCUGGCGGCAUGCUUUACACAUGCAAGUCGAACGGUAACAGGUUAAGCUGACGAGUGGCGAACGGGUGAGUAACGCAUCGGAACGUGCCCGAUCGUGGGGGAUAACGCAGCGAAAGCUGCGCUAAUACCGCAUAAGAUCCGAGGAUGAAAGCGGGGGACUUUAUAGCAAUAUGAGGCCUCGCGCGAUCGGAGCGGCCGAUGUCAGAUUAGGUAGUUGGCGGGGUAAAGGCCCACCAAGCCGACGAUCUGUAGCUGGUCUGAGAGGACGACCAGCCAAACUGGGACUGAGACACGGCCCAGACUCCUACGGGAGGCAGCAGUGGGGAAUUUUGGACAAUGGGCGCAAGCCUGAUCCAGCAAUGCCGCGUGCAGGAAGAAGGCCUUCGGGUUGUAAACUGCUUUUGUACGGAGCGAAAAGGUCUUCUCUAAUAAAGAAGGCUGAUGACGGUACCGUAAGAAUAAGCACCGGCUAACUACGUGCCAGCCGCCGGGUAA
rnacentral:rRNA from 1 species